rnacentral:rRNA from 1 species
UACGUAGGGUGCAAACGUUGUUCGGAAUUACUGGGCGUAAAGCGCGUGUAGGCGGCCAUCUAAGUCGGGCGUGAAAUCCCACGGCUCAACCGUGGAAGUGCACUCGAAACUGGAUGGCUAGAGUCCUGGAGAGGAAGGUGGAAUGCUUGGUGUAGAGGUGAAAUUCGUAGAUAUCAAGCGGAACACCGGUGGCGAAGGCGGCCUUCUGGACAGUGACUGACGCUGAGACGCGAAAGCGUGGGGAGCAAACAGG